GACGAACGCUGGCGGCGUGCCUAAUACAUGCAAGUAGAACGCACAGUUUAUACCGUAGCUUGCUACACCAUAGACUGUGAGUUGCGAACGGGUGAGUAACGCGUAGGUAACCUGCCUGGUAGCGGGGGAUAACUAUUGGAAACGAUAGCUAAUACCGCAUAAUAUUAAUUAUUGCAUGAUAAUUAAUUGAAAGGUGCAAUUGCACCACUACCAGAUGGACCUGCGUUGUAUUAGCUAGUAGGUGAGGUAACGGCUCACCUAGGCGACGAUACAUAGCCGACCUGAGAGGGUGAUCGGCCACACUGGGACUGAGACACGGCCCAGACUCCUACGGGAGGCAGCAGUAGGGAAUCUUCGGCAAUGGACGAAAGUCUGACCGAGCAACGCCGCGGGAGUGAAGAAGGUUUUCGGAUCGUAAAGCUCUGUUGUAAGAGAAGAACGGGUGUGAGAGUGGAAAGUUCACACUGUGACGGUAUCUUACCAGAAGGGGACGGCUAACUACGUG
rnacentral:rRNA from 1 species